rnacentral:rRNA from 1 species
UACAGAGGUGUCAAGCGUUGUUCGGAUUCAUUGGGCGUAAAGGGUGCGUAGGCGGCGCGGUAAGUCGGGUGUGAAAUCUCGGAGCUUAACUCCGAAACUGCAUUCGAUACUGCCGUGCUUGAGGACUGGAGAGGAGACUGGAAUUUACGGUGUAGCGGUGAAAUGCGUAGAUAUCGUAAGGAACACCAGUGGCGAAGGCGGGUCUCUGGACAGUUCCUGACGCUGAGGAGCGAAAGCGUGGGGAGCGAACAGG